GAUUAACGCUGGCGGCGUGCAUGAAACAUGCAAGUCGAGCGCGGCACCUUCGGGUGUCUAGCGGCGCACGGGUGAGUAACACGUGAGCAACCUACCUCCGAGUUCGGGAUAGCCCUGAGAAAUCAGGAUUAAUACCGGAUGGUGUCAUCUCGAGGCAUCUCAAGAUGAACAAAGGCGCAAGCCGCUCGAUGACGGGCUCGCGGCCUAUUAGCUGUUGGUGGGGUCACGGCCUACCAAGGCGAAGAUGGGUAGCUGGUCUGAGAGGACGAUCAGCCACACUGGGACUGAGACACGGCCCAGACUCCUACGGGAGGCAGCAGUUAGGAAUUUUCCACAAUGGGCGAAAGCCUGAUGGAGCAACGCCGCGUGUGUGAUGAAGGCCUGGUUGUAAG
rnacentral:rRNA from 1 species